GUUUGAUCCUGGCUCAGAACGAACGCUGGCGGCACGCCUAACACAUGCAAGUCGAGCGCUACUUCGGGUGGAGCGGCGGACGGGUUAGUAACGCGUGGGAACAUACCCUUUUCUACGGAAUAGCCUUUGGAAACGAAGAGUAAUACCGUAUACGCCUUCGGGGGAAAGAUUUAUCGGUUAAGGAUUGGCCCGCGUUAGAUUAGAUAGUUGGUGGGGUAACGGCCUACCAAGUCUACGAUCUAUAGCUGGUUUGAGAGGAUGAUCAGCAACACUGGGACUGAGACACGGCCCAGACUCUACGGGAGGCAGCAGUGGGGAAUCUUAGACAAUGGGCGCAAGCCUGAUCUAGCGAUGCCGCGUGAGUGAAGAAGGCCCUAGGGUCGUAAAGCUCUUUCGCCAGGGAUGAUAAUGACAGUACCUGGUAAAGAAGUUCCGGCUAACUCCGUGCCAGCAGCCGCGGUAAUACGGAGGGAACUAGCGUUGUUCGGAAUUACUGGGCGUAAAGCGCACGUAGGCGGAUCAGAAAGUAAGAGGUGAAAUCCCAGGGCUCAACCCUGGAACUGCCUUUUAAACUCCUGGUCUUGAGUUCGAGAGAGGUGAGUGGAAUUCCAAGUGUAGAGGUGAAAUUCGUAGAUAUUUGGAGGAACACCAGUGGCGAAGGC
rnacentral:rRNA from 1 species